UUUGUUCGUUUGGCUCGAGUUA
rnacentral:miRNA from 4 species